rnacentral:rRNA from 1 species
UAGGGAAUCUUCGGCAAUGGGGGCAACCCUGACCGAGCAACGCCGCGUGAGUGAAGAAGGUUUUCGGAUCGUAAAGCUCUGUUGUAAGAGAAGAACGUGUGUGAGAGUGGAAAGUUCACACAGUGACGGUAACUUACCAGAAAGGGACGGCUAACUACGUGCCAGCAGCCGCGGUAAUACGUAGGUCCCGAGCGUUGUCCGGAUUUAUUGGGCGUAAAGCGAGCGCAGGCGGUUUAAUAAGUCUGAAGUUAAAGGCAGCGGCUUAACCAUUGUUCGCUUUGGAAACUGUUAAACUUGAGUGCAGAAGGUGAGAGUGGAAUUCCAUGUGUAGCGGUGAAAUGCGUAGAUAUAUGGAGGAACACCGGUGGCGAAAGCGGCUCUCUGGUCUGUAACUGACGCUGAGGCUCGAAAGCGUGGGGAGCAAACAGG